AUUGAACGCUGGCGGCGUGCUUAACACAUGCAAGUCGAACGAUGAACUUGGAGCUUGCUCUGGGGGAUUAGUGGCGAACGGGUGAGUAACACGUGAGUAACCUGCCCUGGACUCUGGGAUAACUUCGAGAAAUCGGAGCUAAUACCGGAUAGGACCUUGCACCGCACGGUGUGGGGAGGAAAGUUUUUCGGUGUGGGCUGGACUCGCGGCCCAUCAGGGUGUUGGUGAGGUACUGGCCCACCAAGGCGUCGACAGGUAGCCGGCCUGAGAGGGUGACGGGCCACACUGGGACUGAGACACGGGCCAGACUCCCGCGGGAGGCAGCAGUGGGGAAGAUUGCACAAUGGGCGCAAGCCUGAUGCAGCAACGCCGCGUGCGGGAUGACGGCCUUCGGGUUGUAAACCGCUUUUAGUAAGGAAGAAGCCUUCGGGUGACGGUACCUGCAGAAAAAGGACCGGCUAACUACGUGCCAGCAGCCGCCGUAAGAC
rnacentral:rRNA from 1 species